UCUCAGUCUCAUUCUUCUCUUUCGUUCAUCUCACUACUACAUAAUUGAUCAUAGAUAGCCCCAAUCUCAAUCCCUAACCCGUCUUUUCUGCUACCCUUCCCACCUCUCCUCUAUCAAAAUCGUCGCCGUCUUAGGCUCCAUCGUCGCUGUCUUAGGCUCCAUCGUCGCUUUCGGUGGCGACGACGACACUAUCCACCUCUACGACCUCUCUGUCGCCUCCUCCCUCGGUUCCCUCCACCAACACUCUACCUUUGUCACCGCCCUCUCCUUCUACGCCCCUCCCAAUCUCCACUUCCCCCGCAACCUCAUCUCCACCGACGACGCUGGCUCCGUCGCCAUUUUUGAUGCAGACGACUUCGUCCAUCUUACCACGCUCUCCGUCCACUGCAGCGCUGGUAUCAACGACCUCGCACUGCACCUGUCUGGUGAGCACGACCGAUAAAAUUGAAGAUGUUUGUUCCGGCUUUGAAGGAUGCUUGAAUAGAGGAGUUUGAGCUAUAUCGAUGGACCCAUUCCGGUGCCUCUUGAUGAGAUGAAGGAGGCACAAUGAUAAUGUUCUUUUGUUCUGGCAAGUCAAGCCUAUUGUACAUGUUUUUCAGCGAGGAAGGUUCAUGUGAGGAUAUAAGCUCUGAUGGCCAGUCUUCCAGCUUCAAUGAAUGGAUUCUUCCUACAAAAGAAUUUGAUGGCAUGUGGGAAAGCAAGUGGGAGCAAUGAUUCUUGUCGGUCACAGGUGAUUAUGUUUCUUAAAUUAAUUUUCUUGGAUUCUUGUUAUAGGGUCUUCAACUUAAAGUAAGUUUGAUGCUUAAAAAAUUAUACGAUUUUGAAACAGUUAUAACUUCAAUCUGAAGUAAUAUUUUAAGCUCAAUAAACCAAGUCAUAUGCUACUAAGUUGAUUAAAGAAGAACCUUAUGUACUCUGUUCGAUACAGGAAAUCCGUAAGUGUCAAAGGUCAUACAUUUUUCCCUGAUAUUUGCUACCUGCCUCUUCACCAUAGCUUUACUACACCUGACCAGAGUUAUCAUCCUUUAAUCACUGUGCAUCAUGCUUCAUAGCUCAUAACCAUAAUGCAUUUGCUAUAAGACUGUAAUAUGGCAUGAUUACAAGGAUAUUUUGUAUAAUUGUUUUGUAUUACCCCUUUAAAUUCACAUCUGCAGAUAUUUGUGUUUAUUUUUAUAUUUUUGGGUCUGCACCACUUGCCUUUAUUUUUCACUUAUUUUCUUUGAAUUUUUUUCCUAUGAAUAUAUUUGGUGUACUGAGCAUGAGCAGUUUUCCACAUGUAUAAAUUACAUUUCACUUUGUUGUAUUUUAUUAUUAUAAGUCAUGGAUCAAAAUUUGUUUCAUUAUUGAAGCAUGGGAGGAUCAAUUGUUGUGCAUGUAGCUGCAAGAAGUUCAUUGUCCACCUUGGUUGGGUUGUCGUGGAUUUUGUAGAGGGAACAACUAUGAUUUCAAAUCUUUAAUGAUUCAUCUCCCAUGGGAGCUGUAGACAUGGAAGACAUUGGAAGGAACUGGGCUUCUUUUAUUUUAAGUGUUACUAGAAAUUUGGCUAGAAUUCAAUAGUGU